CCAACUAUGGAAAGUGAAAGCAUGACAGCAAACAACAAACCGUCAGGAGAUUCACAACAUGAUUUUGUAUCUUUGAGGUUCAUAAUUGUCUCUGUGGGAUUGGCAGCACUUUCAAUAACAGCUGUGACAGUCAACAUGUGGACAAAAACUAAAGGGAAGAAAACACAGAUGGAUAAAAACACACUGACACACUGAAAGAAAACCAGCAGGAUGCAAAGCAAAAGAAUUUGAACAACAAAUCACAAAUGAACAAAACGCGACGCACCCCACUGCGCAAGGUGACGUCAGAGUGACGUUUUUAUACGUCAGUCCACUGAAGGGAUUGUUUUGGAACGCCAGGCGACGUCUUUUUUCUGAUGUCUACUUAAAGUUAAGUGUUGAUAUCUGUACGGUCUCCGUGUACGGGCUAUUUAUAGUCCAAAUUUGGUUGUGGACGACUUUUCAACGUCAAACUUAGACUCACUUUUCACGUCGUUUUUUUACUGCUUCUAUGAGCUCUGUGGUCCCAUGUUUCCAGAGGGUGGAGGACAUGGUUUCUAUAGGCCACCAGUUGAUUUUUCUGUAGCUUUAUUUAUAGCUUUGUCUGUCUCCAGUUAUCAUCUGUGGCUGAGACAAUGAAAUGAAGUUAUUAGAAAAUGAUCUGGAACAGUAUGCCAUCUGAAAUUGGACCAGUUCAUACCAGUUAUGUAUGAAGGAAUGCAGAGAGGUCAGCGAGCAUCUCCAGGAUGGCGAGGGAUCUUGAACUAAAACUAAAGUGAGCAGCUGCUCGGUGGAUUUCAAGCAGAUACUCCAGUUCAUACAUACACACUUCUACAAACUUCUCGUACUUUCCAUCGCAAAUUCUCACAGUCCAGCUACUGAUCACAACCACAUUCACUUCCUUUUACAAUCAUGAUAAAACAGUAUACUUGUAAAAUUAAACCAUAUAUAUUUCAAAUGCUCUUUUACAAUUAUUAAACACAUUGUACUCCUUUUAAAUAGAAUUCAAAUUUUUUUUCUAAAUACUUUAACCAUUAUUAUUUUAAAUUUUAACAUGGA